rnacentral:rRNA from 1 species
GAUGAACGCUGGCGGCGUGCCUAAUACAUGCAAGUCGAGCGAACGGACGAGAAGCUUGCUUCUCUGAUGUUAGCGGCGGACGGGUGAGUAACACGUGGAUAACCUACCUAUAAGACUGGGAUAACUUCGGGAAACCGGAGCUAAUACCGGAUAAUAUUUUGAACCGCAUGGUUCAAAAGUGAAAGACGGUCUUGCUGUCACUUAUAGAUGGAUCCGCGCUGCAUUAGCUAGUUGGUAAGGUAACGGCUUACCAAGGCAACGAUGCAUAGCCGACCUGAGAGGGUGAUCGGCCACACUGGGACUGAGACACGGUCCAGACUCCUACGGGAGGCAGCAGUAGGGAAUCUUCCGCAAUGGGCGAAAGCCUGACGGAGCAACGCCGCGUGAGUGAUGAAGGUCUUCGGAUCGUAAAACUCUGUUAUUAGGGAAGAACAUAUGUGUAAGUAACUGUGCACAUCUUGACGGUACCUAAUCAGAAAGCCACGGCUAACUACGUGC